GGGAGGCCGAGAAGCCCUUCAAGGACCCCGAUUACUUUCCUUUGAAUGAAAAACAACAACAACAACAACAACUGCUCCCUUCCCGCGCCCCCGCAUCCCCCCACCCCUUAGCCUCCGGGGACCCGCGCUUGGCGCAAUUGUCGCCCGGGACAGUAAACAGAGCUCAGUUGCCUCAACUUUCUCCGCACAUAAAAGUUCCCGGCGUGCGGGGAAAUUUGAAUAUUUGAUCAGCCCCUUUGAGUGACCCUCAUUAGCCUGGCGCCCUGCUAAGGCCCCAGCAUUGCAAGAAAGCUGCUGGGCCCGGCAUUUGUAUGCCUUGUUAGCGCCGCUUAAUGAAGCCUCCCCGACCGCUCAAAAGCGGCCUCCGGGCCGGCGGCGCGCACCUCUCGGCACCCGGCUCUGCCUAAUGAGCCCCACCGCCUGCCGAAGGCCCCUCCGCCCCCCACAUCCUCAAACAAGAGAAAUUUGGCUCCGUCUUGGACCACCGCACCUCCCACUGCCAGGCCCAAGAGACUGGGCACAAACUGAGCCUGGCUGGCUGUGGUGACCCAGCCCCAAGAGGAAGAGGUGGGAGACUUGGGGGAUGUGAGCCCUAUGGGCUAGAGGGUGGUUUUGUGGCCUCAGGGUGUAGCCCAGGGAGUGACACUGCCAACCUUUCCCAAGAGGGCCAAGUUCAAAUCAAUUAGUCACCCCAGGUCCUUAAAGAACUGCAUCUGGACUAAUGUUGGGGUGGCAGAGGGCAGAUGCCCUGGGGAGGGUCAGCUUUCCAUCUUCCUCUGUCUUCAAGUUCCUUUGGACUCCACUGCCCAGGAGCUAGCUGCCCACUUCUUUGCAGAUCCCUUUAUGACAGCCAGACCUGGAGUGUUAGGGCUUGGGUUUGAGAAGUCAUCAACACACUCCUCAAACUAUCAUUGUUCCCACCCACCAUCCACAGACCUCAGGCACAAAUGUUAUGACUGUGACACUGGAAAAAGCCAGGUACCACAGCCCACCCUGUUCCUGCCCCCGCCCCACCCCUAGCCAUUCUGGCUCUGGUCUCUCUUUAAUCACACUUCCAGUCUUUAAGAGGCCUGAAGAAAGCCCUCUAGGCAAGAGGCUACCCUGUACAGGAACCAGCCGGCUCCUAGGCUCAAGUGGCAUGCCCCGCCCUAUUUCCAUCCCAGGAACUCCUAAUUCCAGACCAAACUGACAAUUUUUAGGACUCAUCUCUGCCCUGGGCAAGGCAGUGCCCAGGCCUUGAUCCAUGCAAAGGGCAAAGGUAGGAGAUGGAAAUCGAGGAGUGGACGCUGUUGGGGAGAAAAGGGGACCUGAGGCGGAGGAUUUGACUCAGCUCUGUGGCCCCAAGGCCAGGCCCACCAACUGCUCAGGGGAGGAGGCGAGAGGAGGGGGCUAGGAGUCUGCGGGCAUCGGUCGGGGCAGGAGGGACCUAAGGCGUCGGCGUGGG
rnacentral:lncRNA from 1 species